rnacentral:rRNA from 1 species
UGGGGAAUAUUGGACAAUGGGGGCAACCCUGAUCCAGCAAUGCCGCGUGUGUGAAGAAGGCCUUCGGGUUGUAAAGCACUUUUAUCGGGAACGAAACAUUGUCGGUGAAUAUCCGGCAAGACUGACGGUACCCGAGGAAUAAGCACCGGCUAACUUCGUGCCAGCAGCCGCGGUAAUACGAAGGGUGCAAGCGUUACUCGGAAUUACUGGGCAUAAAGGGUGCGUAGGUGGUUUUUUAAGUCUGCUGUGAAGUCCCCGGGCUCAACCUGGGAAUGGCAGUGGAUACUGGAAAGCUGGAGCGCGGUAGAGGGUAGUGGAAUUCCCGGUGUAGCAGUGAAAUGCGUAGAGAUCGGGAGGAACACCAGUGGCGAAGGCGGCUACCUGGACCAGCACUGACACUGAGGCACGAAAGCGUGGGGAGCAAACAG